GACGAACGCUGGCGGCGUGCUUAACACAUGCAAGUCGAACGGAAAGGCCCUGCUUUUGUUGGGUGCUCGAGUGGCGAACGGGUGAGUAACACGUGAGUAACCUGCCCUUGACUUUGGGAUAACUUCAGGAAACUGGGGCUAAUACCGGAUAGGAGCUCCUGCUGCAUGGUGGGGGUUGGAAAGUUUCGGCGGUUGGGGAUGGACUCGCGGCUUAUCAGCUUGUUGGUGGGGUAGUGGCUUACCAAGGCUUUGACGGGUAGCCGGCCUGAGAGGGUGACCGGCCACAUUGGGACUGAGAUACGGCGCAGACUCCUACGGGAGGCAGCAGUGGGGAGUAUUGCACAAUGGGCGGGAGCCUGAGGCAGCAGCGCCGCGUGCGGGAUGACGGCCUUCGGGGUGUAAACCGCUUUCGCCGGUGACGAAGCGUGAGUGACGGUAAUGGGUAAAGAAGCACCGGCUAACUACGUG
rnacentral:rRNA from 1 species